AUCACCUCUUACAGUUCUUCCUAUCUGUUGAAUUGUUUUAAGUCAAUAAACAUCUAAAGUAAGUGUUAUAUUUUAUUGAAAAGAUACCUUAUGCGUAGGCAGCUUGACUUUUACAAUCAAGUGUUAAAAAUGUGCUUAGCUGAAUUAUUUGAAGCAGUUAGUGCAUUGUGGUACAUUGGAUAAAAAAUCUUAAGACUCAGAAGGUAAAUAAAUCCAGCCUACAUUUCUUCGUCAUUUUUAUCUUUAGUAACAGUAUAACAGGUUAAAAAAAGCACAGUUUAAAAAAAAUAAAAAAAGCUAAACAAAAGACUGAAGCUUUUCAAUUCAAUACUCGAAAACUGCAUUUAAGGUCAAGUCAACUGUAGGGUAAGUAACCUGUGCUUAGAAUUUGGCCUAGGAAAUAUUUAUGUAUUUAAGCUCUGUAUUGCUUUGUCUUUGAGAUGAUCUUACAACUCCUUUGUUUGCAGCAGAUUUUGAUAUUUGGCAAGAUGGUAAUUCUCAGACAAUUUCAAUGCCUUUUUGUUUUCUAAACCAAUGAAAUUCUGUUGAGAUCUGGUAAUGUAUGGAAGUUUAAAAAUCUGUUCCUCUUCUCUAACCUGUGUUCCUUAGGAAAAAGUUAUCACCUUGCCAAAAUCACGAGCUUUCCCAAAUUUGGGAUCACACAACUGCUAAAGAAGGGCAGGAACAGUACCCAUUGGAAAAUGCUAGGGUUUUGGUUUCCGUGCUUCCAGGUAUCUGUUGAAGCCUGCCCACAGUACCUGAUUUAAUGCUCCUGUUGCCCACUCUGCUUUCACAGUGAAUACGAAAAAUCUGCAUUUCCCAGGAAGAAGGUAAAAAGAAGACCUUACUGUGACCUUUCCCUCAAACCUGUAAGCUUACCUCAACAGCCUGAUAUCAGUAUCACUUAGCUUUCUUUCCUUUCUUUCUUUCCUAUGGCAAGAAGGACUCAAUUCAGUUGCUUUCAACAGCUGAUCUAAAGUGGUGCAGGUUUCCUUGUAGGUUCUUUGUUGCAUCCAGCUAUAUUCUGGAUAUCCAAGGGCAUGAGCACCUAUGUUCAGGUACCUAAAUAGUUUCAUGGUUGUCUGUACUAUGGUGAAGUUGAGAAUCAAAUCUUGCUGUGAUCUGUGUUGAAGGAACACUGCUACACAUUGGUUAACUUACUCAUGUUCUAAAAAAAAACUUGGGUAAAAUGUGCAAAAAAAGGUAUUUUAGAAAGUAGGUUGCAAAAUCAAACCCUCAGAAGUUGUGAAAUGUCAGAUUUAUGUUAUUUUCUUCCAUGCCUGUAAUUGGUGCAGGAAUACAGAUCUUGCAGCUGUAAUUUCAUCAUAUAGUAACUAUUGGGCACCUAAAUUGGAUAACUGUUACAUUAAAAGACAUGAGUUUGGCAUGGUCAUGGUAUUUAGUAAAUGGCAGGGUGGCAUUUGCGUCUGAGGAAAAACAGUGUUCAUGGAAGAAUGAUCAUAGAAUUCGAUGGUAAGUUAUUAUAUCAAUGUAGAAGAUAAACAGAAUUGGUUCAACAGAAUUUAAAUUCCAUGUCAGCUAAAUGUAUUUGCUUUAUAUAAACUUAAUGUGGGUUCAGACCUGCAAUAAGUAAGCAUGUGUAACGUGAUUGAUUUUGGUGAAGUUUCUCCCAUUUAUGCUGGUGUUGAAUUCUGCCUCUAGUCAAAAAGAAAUUUUCUAAAAGUUCUGCCAACACAGUUUUGUCUCAGAACAGCUUUGAGGCUUGCCAGCAGUGUUACUUCUUUUGCGUUGUAAGAGCAGCUCUAGUUACAUGCCAAAAUAUGGUCUUAUUUUUAAACUGAAAAAUAAAUGAAACCUAUGUAGAAAUGGAAACUUUGUUGAAUGCCAGAUUCUGACCACGUUUCUCCCACUGGAACCACUAGGACCACUUUUGCAAUCUGCUCUGCCUUUAUAGCAUUAAGGGGUAUUUCGCAAUGUGGGAAAUACUGGAAAAAAUGAGUGUAAGAAAGGCAGGAAAUCUGCCAAUGUCCAUGUCUUUUUAAAAAAAUUAUUAUAACCUACUUGCUGAGAUGUGUUUUAUGCAGAUAUCAGAUUUAACCAGACUUCAGUGAUGCCUAGCCAGUCUCCAUUUCAUAAGUGUUACUCAGUAGAGAAGAGGCAGAUAAAAAAAUGUGGGUACCUAAAUAUUUUCAACAUAAUCAUAAUUUAAUGAUUUUGGCCUGUUUCCCUAAGAUAGUAAGACUUACGAGCUUGGAGGCUCUGUCUGCCAGGCUUCUUUCCUUCCCAUUUUCCUUGAUUUUUAAACUUUUUGUCCAAUGUAAGCAGAAUUUUAAAAAGUUAAUUCUGGUAAGAUAGGGUUUAAAACAGAUGCAGGGGUUUGGGAAGGAGAAAUACAGUACUUAAGAAGAGAUUUAUUUGCUCUAAGAUUGUCUUCCUCAGACACUAACCCUAGUAAAAAAGGCCCAGAUGUUUUGCCUCCAGCAGCGUGCAAGCAAUCAAAUCCAUUGAGGGCUUUGAGAAGAAGCUCUAGUGAUUUUGGGCAGUCAUUGACUUUCAGCUUGUGAGAAAAGGAUAGAACAGGUACGUCAUCAUUCCACCAUAAAAGGAAGACAGAAAUUUGUAUUAUUAAUCCAGAAGACUUUGAGUUGGUUGUGCUUAGAGUUUCAGCUUGGUCUUGAGCUGAAGUUUUCAGAGCAGUUACAGAGGUAAGUAUAAUCAAGCUGAGCUCAGCGAGUAUGAUGAUGCUAAAGGAGACAGCAGUUGCCAUUAUAGCAUUUUGAAAGCAUAUUCAGCCAGGUAGUACAGAUUAGCAAGACCUGAAGUGUUCACUAGUAUUGAUAGCUGAACAGUUGCUCUUCAUUUGCCAUUGGACAGCUGUGGUCCUGCUAACCCAUGGCUUAAGGGCAGCAUAUUGCUUAGCGCAACCCUGUUGUGUUUUACUUACUUACUGUGUUUUGACAGUAAGUUGCUUGCAGACCAGUGCACUGGGUGGUGUAACACUGUUGACGCUCAACGUUCAUCACCACAUCUCAGUGAUGAUUCAUGAAUAGCAUUAUUAGCAGUGUACCUGCUAGGGAAUGCAUAGUGUUUGAGACUGAAGUUGUUAAAUCAUAGGAUUACCACACAGAGUAGCUGGUCUUAUGAACUGCCCUUCCGAUCUUGUUCUUUCUUGGUAUUGGACUUUUUAUCAGGUUGUAAUAUGCAGAACAGAAGCUCUUACAUGAGGAACUGAAUUCACCUUGGGUGAUGCACAGUCCUUUUUAGACUAGAAAAGGGGCUUGAUGGAUUUAUGUUCUGAGCAGAUAGCCCCUUAGCUCAGGUGACAGAUUUUAUGCGUAGGCCUCUUGCUUUGUACGUUUACAGUGCUUUUGAGCGUGGAGUUGUACUGCUUCUAUGUGCAAUUGUCUAAUAUUUGCUACUUUUAUCUCAAUUCAUAAGAUGGAUCUUCACUUUAUACCUAAAGGGAAUUAAUAAUUGUCUUCUGUAGGCUUUUUGGCAGGGCAUGGCCUGCUCUAGGGAUCUUUGACUGUAGUAAUCUUAUUGGCAAAAGAUGUAACUUGCCAUAAAUUGAAUUUCCUUUUUCUGAAGCCUGAAAUGACCUGUAUCCUUGAGUUUUAGAAAGAAGAUGAAGAUUAAGGGUGUAGAAAGGCAGGUAGACACUAAGCUCCCGCUGACUGUAUUUGGUGUAUAAUUCCUAUUUGUAUCUUUGCAAAUCUUAAUUUUUACUUGGUGUAUAUGGUGGGUGUUAAAGGAGGUGGCAAAGAAGCUACUUUCUACUACUUGGUUCUGUAAUUAUAAAUAUACUGACUUUGGUAUGAGGAACAUCAGACAAUAAGUCUUGGUGAUGGUUAAGUUAAUUCACUUUUAGAAGUUCAAUAAUUCAUCUAAGAAGUGUCAGCAGCUGGGUCUUGUUAAUGGUAAGCCUUUCAUUUCUGUUAAAUCAAUUGUGAAUAAUAGAAUCCUUCAGAGAAAAAUGAUGAAGUAAGCAUUGAUUUCCAAAUUGGGUGUCUGAUAUUAGAACAUUAAUAAAAUCUAGAGCAAGCAGGCAACUAGGACCUCAUAUGCUCUGAUCACCUAAGUAGUAAUCAGAGAAAAUCAAUGAUUUUUGUGUAUGGUGCUAGAUCUGUUAACAUUUCAUCUGUCGCCAUUCAUCAUUGUGUCUAUAAUUCCAUUUUUAUAAUUGUUUUGAUUUUGGGGGAGCUUAAUAGUAUGCAUUGAAUCAAGCAUUUACUGUCAAGCUUUUGUGAACAGAAGUGGCAUUGCCAUAAUGUCUACUCUUUACUAGCUGUCUGUCUUACUAUUUUAGGGCUUUCUAUAGCAAUGGUUGAAGUAAUGUCUAUGUAUUUUCAAAUGAGGUUAAAUUUUCUUAGAGGGGUUCCAAGCAGACUUCAUGGAGUCCUCCAUUAUUAUCUCUCUCUAAGCUGUGAGGAGCUGUGUUGCUCACUUGUAUGUAGUCACGUUCAGUCUCACAGGGGUGUUAUGAACAUCUCCAGUAAUGAUAGUAAAACUCUGUCAAAGAGAAACAGUUGUAGAGAACAUCGUCAGAACAGUCAGACUCCUGGCAUGGCUUCCUCUGCAGCAUCUUCCUUGGGCUGUUCCCCACCUACACCUUCUGGCUCUGUGUGCUUUGUUCCAGGCUGUCUUGUGUUGUUGCAGAGGGCCGUGGCUGUCCGGAUGCAUCAAGAGAAGAUCGAUGCUGACCUGGCUGGACUCUGGCCUUUGGUGACUUUAAUACAGAGAACAAAGGUUUUGGUAGGGGGAGAAUCAGUGAGUGUUCUGAGAGGGAGUAGUUGAUGGUAGGUCAUCUAACCAAGGCAUGGGAGGCCAUCGGCUUUUGUGAAUGGGAUACCUGUAUGGUUUCUGCUUUCAGCCUUCGAGCCAGUGAGUUUUUGCAAUACAAUGUGAAGGUUAUGGAUUUGUGGGUGUGGGGUUGUUUGGUUUGGUGUUUUUUUUUUAAAAAAUUAUUUUUGUUUUAAAUUCUAUUUGAAGGCUGAGUUGACAGGUUUUGUUUAGAGCUGCUGGGCACCGGCUUUUUCUGUCCAGUAUUGUGCUUAGCAGCAAUCCCAUUUUGUUUAAAGCCGUAUUGAAUUUGUAUGGAAAACCACAUACAAUCAAAUCUGCUUCCUGUUGAAGUCUAUCGGAGUUCAGGCUAAAACUGGACCAGGAUUUGGCCCAUAAAGCAUAGCAAGAAAAUUUAACAGUUAUAAUGAAACUCUUAAGGCAAAUAAAAUGUUCUAGCAGGUGUUCAUAAAUGUGCUUUAUGCUCAUAGACUCUGUUAAAUGUUAAUACUAAGGUCCUGCAGAAGCUGCACAUAAGGAUUGUGUGAAGGAAGCAAAUGUCUGUUAAAUGUGCUGUGCAAUAUUGUAGCAAAGGUGGGUGGCUGUGCAAUGCCAUGCUACCUAUUAGACUGAAAUAUGAAAGCUAUUGAGAUUCUGCUGAAUUUUCAUUUUGUGAGGGAGUAGUUUUCAAGAGAGAACAUAUCAUAUAAAAAAGCUGUGUGUUGUGCAAAACUGGAAGCAUCUUUGUCAGUGUAUGCAGUUUUCUUGGAUGUAUGCAGAGCUUAUUAGGAGCAACUACUAACAUACUGUAUUAACAAUAAAUUUAAAAUAAGACAAUUCUUGCAAGGAAAAUGGUAGCUGAAAAGCAGUUUCAUUUUUUGUAUAUUUCAUUUUCCUUGAAUUAGGGGGUUUUUUGUGCCUUAGACGAACCCACAGGCAGAAGUCCUAACAUGAUCCUAAAUAGGUUUUGAAGAUAAUAGGUGUUGGUGGGAUUUUAUAUUUAGAUCUGUCUUAUGCUAGCUCUUAAGACUUUUUAAUCCAUCACUUAACCAUCAAAGCACUUCUUUAUCAAAGCACAGUGAGGUCCAUUUUAGAUUUCCAGGAGCUUUCUGGCCUUCCUCCUUUCUGGCGUUCUAGGGGAAGCAUUUGUUGGCUUUUUCAGUGCAUUUUGCAGCAUGCCCCCCGUAGGCUGGUAGCUUGUACUGGCUUGGUUUCUUCUAGCAGUUAAUUUCAUUAAGAUUCAGCUCAAACCCAUGGGACAAAAAAAUAUCUGUGUGUACUGGAGACAGUUCCUAAAAUGACACCAUGAAUGCGGCAGUCAUUGUUAGAAUGUGUUUUGUUGGCGUUUGAUUAAUUGACUGAGUUAUCAUCUCAUCAAUGCUCAGUCAUUGUGUUGCAGGAUAAAAGCAACCACAUAUUACAAAGAUACUCUCUUUCCCAGUUAACUUCUUAAUUUUCUGUGCUUAAAGAGAAUGCAUUAGCUUGGAAAACACUAGGAUUGCUGAGUGAGGGGAGGUCUUUCACACGACAUUUAGAUCUAUCAAGUUACAAGCAUCACAGCUGCCCUUGUAUCACAUGCUGCUGUCAGAAUGUCCACAUAAUGUCAGAAAGACUCUUCCACUGUUGUCUUCGUCUUGUCCUCAAGUGUCUGUUCCCUGCAGCGGCAGUGCUGGCAUUUUUUUAGCUGAUGGGGGCAGGGGUGACUCAGAAAUCUUGCUUUAUUCCACCCUGUUGUAAAAAGGAUUGAAGCAUGUGCUUAUGCAGCAAAUUCUCAUCACUUGCCUCCCAAAGUCUCAGGGCUACCAGGGUGGUGGGACCUCUUAGCUUGCUCCUGUGUAGUAGUGCUGCUCUAGUGUGCUUAUGAAUUUUCAAAGCAAGGCUGCGAAUCAUCAUCAGCUGGCAGAUUGGGAGCUCCAUCACGUAGUAGACUAUCUUUUCUUGUAAUUCUUCUAGGACAAAGAGGCCUAGUAAAGAAGUGGGGGGGGGGGGGAAGACUAGGAACUGGUUUUAAUCAAGUGGAAAAUAUGUCAGUACUUCUCUUGUAAGUUGUGGCACUUCUAGAAUAGUGAUAUUCAUGCAGAACUUUUAAUCCCUGCAGUACAUUAUAAAUGCAUUGUGUGAGAAUUAAAUGUUAAUUGAGGCCAUUAUUUUAUGAGUGGACUAUUUAUAUAGUAAAGUUAUUUGAAGUAAUGGGCCAUGAAUGCAUUUUGUUUAUUAACUUCACUAGUGCUCAUUCUUCUAUAUCUUUUUUAUCACAGAGCAGUAGUUUUGAAAUGGAAGGCCCUCCAGUGACAUUAAGACCAGCUACAUGUACAGUAUGUUACUUUCAAAAGUGUGUUUUGUUGAUUUCAAGAUACGUAACAGCAUACUGUCUAAGCCUUUGGAAGAUUGGGCUUUCAGGUGACUUUCCACUUGAGGAGAAAAUAAAAAUACAGAAGAGGAGGGUGUAUUUUUUUUCCUUUGCUUAAAACUUAAUUGAUUCAGGUACUUUAAAUGGUCUUCUCCAUUUUGAAGAUGGGAAACUGGGGUAAUGAAAAUUAUUUACUUUGCCUGAGAUUAUGAAGGGAAGUCUGGCAGACAAGGAAAUUAAAUUGAGAUCCCCUAAAUGUCAGGCCAGAUCUGUAACUACUAGAAUAUCCUUCCUUUCUUUUCUAAAAUGUCAGAAACUUAUAGCGAAGUAUAGAUUUUGUAGGAUUUCCAUAGGGCAACUGCUUUGUGGCCCUGAGGGUGUAAAUGCCUACAAUUUGUAUAAAUUCAUCACCCUUUGAAGUUGAGAGUACUGUAUCUGUUAUUAAAUCUGGAAAAAAGGCAGUGUCAAGCCAACAUACUUGUAAUAAUAUUUUGGAUUUCCUUCUCUAAUUGUUUAAUGGAAUUAAUAUGAACAUUUUAGCUAUAAAGUUGGACAGCUGCGGCAGGAUGUGAUUUAGCUGGCUCUUCUUUCAACACAUUCUGGCAAACUUUACAAUAUGCAACGUUAUAAAAAUCCCAUUUUUCUGACAUGUAGCUUUCCUGUGCUUCUUCAGUUUCCAGAUAUUUAUCCAUUGUGUUGUGUUUUUUUAAAGGCCAACUUCAAAUUGCUUCUCAGUUCUUGGUUAUGACAAAAUGCGGUGCAAGGCAAAAACCUUGCAUGCCGCCUUCCCUCUCAUCAAAGAUGCUGGAACUUGUGCGUGAGCAGUGGUUACCUGAUGAACUGCAGCACUAAAGUGAUGCAGUGUGUGACUACAUUACCCAUCUGUUCAUCACAUAUUACUGUGGUCUUCUGUUUUUGCAGUUCACUCUUUUGCUUGUUGCAUCAAAACUCCAUUUCAAAUGCUUUUGUCCAAGUAAGGAAAACGUUAGGAAGUUGCCUACAGAUCCAUGCUAAACUCUUAUCUCCUAGUAGAAAUUUUUUUUUUCCCUGGCCUGCUAUGUGCUUAUGAAAUUCUGUAAGUAUUUAUUGUUCUUUGGUGUCUUACAGUACAUUUAGGCUCUGGACUUUUGAGCAUUACCAAAUGAACACAGCAGGAAGAGCCAGCUGUUUAUAAGGGAGAAAAAUGGUCAGCAACAUCAAUACCGUCUGCUCCAAAGACCAUGGUAAAUGGAAACUGCCUGCAGCACAUUUGAAUUCCUCACUGUAUUUGGGAUGAAGGUACGAUGCAGGCAGUGAGAUUUUUUUUUUUUUUUUUUUAAAUUAGGAUAGACUGUUACAGUUCUUAGGAUGAAAGAGAGAGGCUGAUUACAACAUAAUGGAGUGUACCAUAUUCAUCUCUUUGAAAUAUGACCUCACUCGGCCUUUUCCAUUUUACAAUCGAUUCUCUCAUUCCCUUAAUGAACCUGUGCGUUCAUGACUCUUCCUUGGAAGUAUGCACAUGAAGUAUUACAGUAGCAGAGAGUAAUUGUCUGACAAGCAAGUGCAAGUAAAGUGUCUCUCUUGUAGUCUUGUUCAAUAACAUUAUGGACCGUUAAUGCAUCGCAUCAGGUUCCAUAUUGUUUUGUUAAAAAUUAUGCAACCAUACUUUUCUUAGUGGUUUGUAGUUUUUUUUUAAAAUGGUAGCUUCAGAAAACUGGUUUAACAUCAUCUGGCUUUAUUUCUUUGCAGUACAGUACAUAUGUGUAAGAGAUGAGCUGUCAGAAAGGUACUCUUACAAAGUCAGUGCUCUGUUAUCAGGUACUGCAAUUGAAUAAACUGUAAUAUUGUGUUAAAGGAGGAAAGAAAGGGCUCUUUGAGAAGAAGAAAUAUGCGUAAUGUUAUGUAGAGAAUUACUGGAGGUACCAUCAUUUGGAAGAUGUAACUUUUAAAGGAUCAAAUAUGUGACUUCUGUAUCUAUGGGCUUCUUUUGGCUAUCGAUGUGAUUAGAUGUAAUAAGAGAAUACUGUUAAUUAUUAUAUUGUAUGGUUUAUUCUUAUAUAUGGGGUCUGUGUGUCUUCAUGUGUAUUUUUGGAUGUGUUUUUAAUAUAAAUAUUGUUUAUAAAACCUUAAACUAAUAUGUAUUAUAUAUAACCAUAACUAAUAUAGAAACUAAUUAUAGGUGUUUUAAAUACAUAUAUGUGUGUAUGUAUGCAGUUCUAUUAUCAGCCCAUAGCUGCUAAUUGCCUGUUGACCUUUUCAACUUGCUACAAAAUAUAAAGCCACCAACUGGGUGACACUCGCAAAUACAGAACAACCUGGAUGGUACCCAGGAUCAGGCUACAAGUACAGAGCUCGCUGUCUUCACUGCUGGGAAAUCAGGAGACUGGGGAGUGUGGGACAGACUCCCUCACACCCCAAUAUCGCUUUGGUCACAGAACUGCCAAGAAGGCUGAGCCUUACUGGGAACUACCCAGGAUAGUCAGCAAAACCUUAUGGAAAGAUGUUGAGACUAAACCACAAGCAGAAUAAACCGAACAGAGAAAAUUUGCAGAAACUUGAAAACCUUUGUAAUGACAAUUUCAUUGAAAUUCUAAGUGUUUGAUGUAUCACCACCAGCACUGAUUUGGUAAAAAUGACCAUGAAAUAAAGAUUGAGCUUGGAGAGAA